UAGUCCACGCAGUAAACGAUGAAUGCUAGAUGUUGGAAACAUUAGUUUUCAGUAUCGCAGCUAACGCAUUAAGCAUUCCGCCUGGGAAGUACGGCCGCAAGGCUAAAACUCAAAUGAAUUGACGGGGACCCGCACAAGCGGUGGAUCAUGUGGUUUAAUUCGAAGCAACGCGAAGAACCUUACCGGCCCUUGACAUACCAAUCGCGAACUUAAGAGAUUAAGUUUUUCACUUCGGGUGGAUUGGAUACAGGUGCUGCAUGGCUGUCGUCAGCUCGUGUCGUGAGAUGUUGGGUUAAGUCCCGCAACGAGCGCAACCCUCGUGGAUAGUUGUUUUCUUUAUCCAGACUGCUUUUACAAGAGGAAGUGGGGAUGACGUCAAAUCAUCAUGGCUCUUACACCUAGGGGCUACACACACGCUACAAUGGGACAGUACAGACGGUUGCUAAGUCGCAAGAUGGAGCCAAUCCGAUAAAGCU
rnacentral:rRNA from 1 species